ACAGAUGAAGGUGAUUAUCAAAUCAAAUUACGUAAUAUAUUACGUUUCUUAGAAGACGGAGAUAAAGUAAAAAUUACGGUUCGUUACCGUGGUCGUGAAAUGGCUCAUCAAGAAAUUGGUUUAGAUGUCUUAGAACGUGUUAAAACGGAUACGAGUGAAGUGGCAAUAGUUGAGUCAGCACCGGGAAAAUUAGAAGGUCGUCAAGCCGUUAUGGUGAUUGCACCGAAGAAAAAAUAAUUUUAUUCUUGCAUAAAAUGGGCGGAUCUUAUAAAAUCUGCCCGUUUCUUGUUAUAUAAAUAACAGAAAUAAAGUAAUCCACAGGCACA
rnacentral:misc_RNA from 1 species